CAAUAUCCACAUGUUUUGGACACCUUUUCUAAACUAAUAGUUUAGGACUUGGCUUUUCUUCUGCUCUGUGGCUUUAUAGUUCUCUAUUACUUACCAAAUAACGAAUUAAGUAUUGGGUUGUUGUAUGUAUUCCGGGCUGUAUGGCAUGUUUUAGAAGUAUUCUCUCUUGACGUUUCGCCCACAUCUAUGGCAGGCAUCCUCAGAGGUUGUGAGGCAUGGAGAAAGUAGGCAAGGAAAGUUAAUAUAUAUCUGUGGAGAGUCCAGGGUGAGAGAAGAGUUCUUUGUCAGUUGGAAGUCAGCGUGAAUGUUGCAGUUAAUCACCUUAAUUAGCAUUGGAAAGGUUUGUCUCUUUCCUUUGUUCAGUCAUAACAGAGCACUUGAUGAACCAACCUGGACACAGUAUAUUAUUUGAGAACACAGAAAUGCUUGACCACUCCAACAACUAUUUUUAUAGAUUUUGGAAUAUUUAUAUAUCUGUAUCUAGAGAGAGAUGUCUUAGAGGCGAGAUCCAAGUCAGAACACAAAUUUCACCUAUGCUUCAUAGACAUCUAUGUUUGCACCCUCAAAGCAAUUUUACACAUAAGUUGUCGAAGGCUUUCAUGGCUGAAAUCACUGGUUUGCUGUGAGUUUUCCAGGCUGUUUGGCCAUGUUCCAGAAGCAUUCUCUCCUGACAACCUCUGAGGAUGCCUGCCAUAGAUUUGGGUGAAAUGUCAGGAGAGAAUGCUUCUGGGGCAUGGCCAUACAGCCCGAAAAACUCACAGCAACCCAGUUUUACACACAUUUUCAAUAAAUUUGUGCAUACAACAUUUUUACAAGCUAAUCAGUAAGCAAAGGUGUCAUUAUCUCAAGUACCAGGUGGACAAUUUUGGAAUAUUUUGGCAUUCCGGAUAAGGGGUCCUCAAACUGUAUAUUAAAACCCUUAUGUGUGAGUAAAAAUAAUAUAUUUUAAAAGACUUCUAGAGAAGCAAUUUCACUUUCAGAAUGGCCCCAUCCUCCCAUCUUUCCUUCCGGCGGAAAGCGAAAACCGUUUUAUUUGGGCAGGCUUUUUUUUUAACAAAGAAGGUUUUUAACAUCAAGUGAUUUUAGCUGUAUGUUUUUUAAAGAAUUUUAACUGUUAAAUCUUUAAUUAAGACCAUUGAUGUUUAAUUCUAUUUUAAUGUUAGUACAUUUUGGGGUUUUAAAUUGUACUGAAGUGCUUUUAUCGUAAGCCACUUUACAUCUCCUUUGUGGAGAGAUAAAGUGGGGUAUAAAUAAACAUAAUAAACAUUAUUAUUAUUAUUGCUAUUAUUAUUGAUACGCAACAAGAUUACUACACCACAAACAAGAUCACUAUGCUGGUUGUUGUAUUGUAUCCCACGUCGGACACUUCCUGAGUGUCUUGGACUAUGUGAUGCAUCAGUGAAUAAUGCAAAUCUGAGUAGGGUGGCCUUUUGCAGCUGACAGAUGGUAAUUUUGUCAGCGACUAUUGUUUUCAAGUGCUGCCAAAGUCUUUAGGCCCUGCAACCAGUGUGCCAAUCACCUCUGGGACCACCUUGACUGGCUUGUACCAGAGUCUUUGCAGUUCGAGCUUUAAAUCCUCAUAUCGUGCCAGCAUUUCCCUUUGCUUCUCAUCGAUUUUGCUAUCAUCUGGAAUUGCAACAUCGACAAUCCAUGCUUUGUUUUUUAAAUAAAUUCUUGUUGUUGUGGUUGUUGUUGUUAUUAUUAUCAUCAUCAUCAUCAUUAUUGCAAUGUUGUGUGAUUCCGGCCAUGAAAGCCUUCAACAUUAUUAUUAUUAUUAUUAUUAUUAUUAUUAUUAUUUAUUAUGACACAGCAAACAAGAUAGAUAUGCUGGAUUUCAUAUCACAAAAUCACAAGUCGAACACUUCCCAAGUGUCUAGGACUGUGUGAUGUAUUUUCGGAUGAUGCGCGCAGAUCCCAGCAGGGUGGCCUUUUGCAGCUGGCAGAUCGUAAUUUUGUCAAUGUCUAUUGUUUCCAAAUGCCGGCUGAGAUCUUUUGGCACAGCACCCAAUGUGCCCAUCACCACCGGGACCACCUGCACUGGUUUCUGCCAGAGUCUUUGAAGUUCAAUCUUGAGGUCCUGAUAGCGGCUGAGUUUUUCCUGUUGUUUUUCGUCAAUGCGACUGUCAACUGGGAUGGCAACAUCAAUGAUCCAAACCUUGUUCUUUUCCACAACUGUGAUGUCUGGUGUGUUGUGUUCUAGAACUUUGUCAGUCUGGAUUCGGAAGUCCCACAGUAUUUUUGCGUGCUCAUUUUCCAAUACUUUUGCAGGUUUGUGAUCCCACCAGUUCUUUGCUGCUGGCAGGUGGUAUUUGAGGCAUAAGUUCCAAUGAAUCAUUUGGGCCACAUAGUUGUGCCUCUGUUUGUAGUCUGUCUGUGCAAUUUUCUUACAGCAGCUGAGGAUAUGAUCCAUGGUUUUGUCGGUUUCCUUGCACAGUCUGCAUUUUGGGUCAUCAGCUGAUUUUUCGAUCUUGGCCUUAAUUGCCUUUGUUCUGAUGGCUUGCUCCUGGGCUGCAAGGAUCAGGCCUUCUGUCUCUUUCUUCAGGGUCCCAUUCGUGAGCCAGAGCCAGAGCCAGGUCUUCUCCUUAUCAGCUUUUCCUUCAAUUUUGUCAAGGAACUUUCCAUGCAAUGUUUUGUUGUGCCAGCUGUCAGCUCUAGUUUGUAGUGUGGCUUUCUUGUACUGGUUUUUUGUUUGCUGUGCUUUGAGGAGUUUCUAAUUAUUAUUAUUAUUAUUAUUAUUAUUAUUAUUAUUAUUAUUAUUAUUAUUAUUAUUAUGUGGCCAGUUCCCAAAUCCAUCCUGUCAGGAUUUGACAAGAAGUCAAGUGUAAAAGCCUAUCAAGGAGGUUAAUUGUAAGGUCAAAAUGAUAAGGCAAGUUUCAGUACUUGAUUAAAAGCAGUGCCAAAGAACCAGGGGUGAGGCAAUGCAAUAUUUGAUUGGCUGGGUCUUGUAUAAAAGCAGGUCCGACAGUAUGUUUGCUUUCUUCUUGAUGGUAUUGAUGAUAGUAUUGAUUGAGAGAUCUGUGUUGGAGAAAUUGCUGAGAGUAGGAGAAGGAGAAAGUGACUUUUGUACAGAGUUGUUCGAGUCUGUGUUACUGAAGAUAAAAGCCGCCUUGAUUUUGGAACAAAACCUCUGUCGUUUUGCCUGUGUGUGCGAUUUAAUCAGGUAUUUCCAGACAACCGAAUGGGCAAACUUUGGCCCUCCAGGUGUUUUGGACUUCAACUCGCACAAUUCCUAACAGCCUAUCGGCUGUUAGGAAUUGUGCGAGUUGAAGUCCAAAACACCUGGAGGGCCAAAGUUUGCCCAUGCCUGAUUUAAGAUAUUUAAGAGCCAGCUUUCCUUGUUCAUAGAAUGAACACAGAAUCCCAAACCCUUCCCUAUCAGUCUCUCCAUCCCAGAAGUGUGCAAAUACCUGCCUGAGCAAAACCGCAGCCGUGUUUGGCAGGGCGAGACCCCCUCCUCGCAUGCCUCAUCGGCCGCCCAGCAGGAUCCACCUCAACCGAGGGCUAAGCAAACGCCGCUUUCACUGGGCUCCGUUUGUCUGGGCCCUCCAAGCGUGACAUUAUAGACCCCGGCGCUGUUCAUUGAAUUUAUGGCCCUUGGCAACCCAUGCCAAGGCAAAGAGAGAAAUACAUAAACGGACAGAUGCAUGUGUACACAUUGCUCACACACAGACCCUGCUGCAGAUGUGAAUUGGGAGAGGGAACGCAGCCAUCAGUAUACAUGGGUUCUGCAUCCACUGAUUUAACCAACCAUGGCUUGAAAAUAUUCGGGAAACAAAUCCAAAAAAGAAUGAUUUUUUUUUUUUACUAUGGGCAAAAGCAUUACGAGGAUUACACACCGGCUGCUCAGGGUUUGCAAUUCAAGCAAAAGGCAACAAAUGAGAAAAGUACUGGUGGUGGCACAGUGUGUUAAAGCGCUGAGCUGCUGAACUUGUGGACCAAAAGGUCCCAGGUUCAAAUCCUGGGAGCGGAAUGAGCGCCCGCUGUUAGCCCCAGCUCCUGCCAACCUAGCAGUUCGAAAACAUGCCAAUGUGAGUAGAUCAAUAGGUACUGCUCUGGCGGGAAGGUAACGGCGCUCCAUGCAGUCGUGCCGGCCACAUGACCUUGGAGGUCUCUACGGACAACACCUUCGGCUUAGAAAUGGAGAUGAGCACCAACCCCCCGAGUCGGUCACGACUGGACUUAACGUCAGGGGAAACCUUUACCUUAACCUACUUAUUUUCACAUUUUUCAAGAUAGUUCUCUUACCCUGAGAUUCCUCCUUUUACCUGGGCUAGGCUCUGGGAUCUGGCAACUCUAUCCCAAAGGGGGUUGAUUGUAACACAUUCAUAUUCUCAAAUAACUUCUAUAACUUCACUUAGGAUACUAAAUCUUCACUACUAGCCACUGACCACUAAGUUGCCUUUAGUUUUAUGAUCCAUAAGUAACAUGUAUGUCUUGUCAAAGGCUUUCAUGGCCAGAAUCACUGGGUUGCUGUGAGUUUUCCAGGCUGUCUGACUAUGUUGCAGAAGCAUUUUCUCCUGACGUUUCGCCCACAUUUAUGGCAGGCAUCCUCAGAAGCUGUGAGGUCUGCUGGAAACUAGGCAAGUGGGGUUUAUAUAUCUGUGGAAGGUCCAGGUUGGGAGAAAGAACUCUUGUUUGUUUAAGGCAAGUGCGAAUGUUGCAACUGACCAUUUUGAUUAGCACUGAAUGGCUUUUCAGCUUCAAUGCCUGGCUGCUUCCUGCCUGGGGGAAUUGUUUGUUGGGAGGUGAUUAGCUAGCCCUGAUUGUUUCGUGUUUGGAAUUCCCGUUUUUGAGUGUUGUUCUUUGUGGAUUUCAAGCCAUUGAAAUCCACAAGUAUGUGAAUAGUUUCACUAGAAAGGGGGAAAUUGUGAAAAUGAACAAAAUCUGGCUACCAGUAUUUCUUUUAAAAAAUUCAAAAAUCAUGACAGUAAAUAAAGAACAACACUCAAAAACAUGGGAAUUAAAGACAGGAAACAAUCGGGGCCAGCUAAUCACCUCCCAACAAAUGAUUGCCCCAGGCAGGAAGCAACCAGCCAUUGAAGUUGCAAGGCCAUUCAAUCCUAAUCAAGUGGCCAACUGCAAAAUUCACACAUUUAAACAGGCAAGAGUUUUUUCUCCUAGACAUCAUUCCACAGAUAUCUAAAUCUCAUUUGCCUUGUUUCCAACAGACCUUACAAUCUCUGAGGAUGCCUACCAGAGAUGUGGGCGAAACGUCAGGAGAGACUGCUUCUGGAACAUGGCCAUAUAGUUUGGAAAACUCACAGUUACCCAACAUGCUCAGUUUCGUGGAAUCAUAAAGAGUUGGAAGAAAUUUUAAGGUUUCUCCUGUCCACCCACACUCUGCUAUCUAGGAACAUACAAUCAGACCACUCCCAAUAGAUAGCCAUCCAGCCUCUGCUUAAAAAUCUCCACUGGACUCCAAGGCAGGAUAUGCUACCGCUGAACAGCUCUUUCCAUCAGGAUUUCAGGGCUCAUCCUAGCUCUGUUUCCCACUUGGGAGGAUAUUGUGGAGCUGAAAGUCCAGUCCUACCCUACAAGCCAACACAUAAGACAAAUCUCAUUGAUUUCGCCGGGUCUACUUUAACAACACUGCAGUGUGAAGAAUGAGUUAUAGAGAAGGGAAGCGCCGCCCUGGCAGUAUUUAUGUCGGAAGAUUCGUCUCUCCGUCCAAACAGGCACCGUGUCUUGCCAAGAGUCCGGUGCCCAGGAACCGUCAGGUUUGUUUUCCUGAAAUGUGGUCUCACUGACAAUAAAUCAGAGAGUUAGAAAAACAUUUAGCAAAAGGAAAGCAGGGAAAGAAAGAAAGAAAAUCCUCCAGUGCCCCAAAGCAGUGAUGAUGAUCGGUAGUUGGCCCAAGCAAGAAAGCAAGCAAAUCACCCCGAUCGGAUGGAUAGAUUGAGCCUUGCAUGGGAUGGAAAGAAAGACAUACUCUUUCCAUAGUAAAACCUGGUUAUUGAAAGGAAAAGCUUAGGGCCUGCCUGCAUCAAGGGUGGUCGAGGCUAGGAAAAAGCAGAGGAGAAAUUAAACUUAAAUCUGCUUUUUAACAUAUGUGUUUUAAUAGGUAAAAUACAUCAAUAAAAGCGUAAGACCAUGUUGCAUCAUGUCUUGAGGAGAAUUGUUAAUGUGGGAUUUGUGUAUUGAGUGUUUAAAUGCAAUUUGUGCCAUGCUUGUAUUGCAACUGAUUGCAUCAUCCAGAAUGUACCAUAGUGUGAAAAGAGUUAAUUGCCAAGAAGCUAUGAUGACCUUGAUGUGUGGCUGGAACUAGGGAGUAUCCAGACACAAGUGUUUGUGCAUAACGAUUGCAUCCGUUCAGUUGAGUUCUGUCUGCCUAGAGUUCGAGUCAAGUUCUGUUGGAGAACAGAGCAGUCCUGUGUUCAUCUGUCAUCUGCAAGUCUGUUUGUGUUGAUUAUGGCUGAAUACAGUAAAACUUUGUAAAUAGUUUUA